rnacentral:piRNA from 1 species
UGAUGACUAUGCCAAACACCUGAG